rnacentral:rRNA from 1 species
CAUGGAGGGUGAGAAUCCCGUCCGGCUGACCUUCAGGACGUUUUACGAUACGCUCUCAAAGAGUCGAGUUGUUUGGGAUUGCAGCUCAAAAUGGGAGGUAAAUUUCUCCUAAGGCUAAAUACCGGCGAGAGACCGAUAGCGAACAAGUACCGUGAGGGAAAGAUGAAAAGAAUUUUGAAAAGAAAGUCAAACAGUACGUGAAAUUGUUGAAAGGGAAACGAUUGAAGCCAGUCGUACCGACGGGAAUUCAACUUCUCGAGUGCUAAUCGUGGGUGACGUUGAGCCUCACGGCCUUCGUUGCUUGUGUUGUUGGUGCUUUUGGGGUGUACUUUUCCGUAUUGGUAGGUCAGCAUCGAUUUCGAUCGUCAUAAAAUGAUCGGGGGAAUGUAGCUUCGGUCUCGUAUCGGAGUGUUAUAGACCUUGGUAGAUGUGACGAUUGGGAUCGAGGAUUGCAACGAAUACCCUCUGGGCCAUCCGUCUGUCCUCUGAAAGUCGCUCGGGUGUCGAAAGCGUGCUUAUGGCUAUUCGAGUUGGCGGUCAAUAGGUUAGAACGCGAUUAUAUUCGUUAAGGAUGUUGACGUAAUGG